AUCUACAAGCCACAUGGAAUCUAUUUUUCUUUAUGGUAUGAGAUAGAAGCGAAGAUUUAUUUUUUGACCAGAUGGACAUCUAAUUGGCCCAGAAUCACUUGAUGAAAAGACCAUCCUUUCACCGUUGCACUUCAGUAUUCUUUUUAUCAUAACCAAGGAGCUGUCUGUGUGUGAGUCUUAGAGGACAAGUUUUUAAAAAAUCAAUUGUUCUAUGGCCGAGAUUUCCCUGCGAUAAAAGACAGAUUAACAAGAGAAAAACAAACGGAAAUUUAUUAACAUGCAUGCCUCAUUUAUACGUGGGAGAUGCUCGGGAAACCUGACUAAAACUCUCCAAAAUGGCCCAAGCUACCUCCUUGAACACCAUCUUCAGGGAGGACAAAAGAAAGAUGUUGAGGGUAGGAGAAGUAAGGAGGCCAGCUACGGAAAGUCAUCAGGAAAAACGCGGAGCUGGUGAUGCAGGCAGGCUCCCAAAGUUACACCUAUAUGAUUCGAGAAAUCAGGCCCCCACCACUGCACUCUGACCUAAGUUGCUGGAGGAAAAGUUUCCCCCCAACAAAGAGCAAAUGAUAAAGCAAAUGAGACAAGAUGUUGAUGAUAGGUG
rnacentral:lncRNA from 1 species